rnacentral:rRNA from 1 species
UACGUAGGGGGCAAGCGUUGUCCGGAUUCAUUGGGCGUAAAGAGCUCGUAGGCGGCUGUUCAAGUCGAACGUGAAACUCGGAGCUCAACUCCGAGCCUGCGUUCGAUACUGGACGGCUAGAGUCUGGUAGGGGGAUCUGGAAUUCCUGGUGUAGCGGUGGAAUGACGCAGAUAUCAGGAGGAACACCGGUGGCGAAGGCGGGAUCCUGGGCCAGUACUGACGCUGAGGAGCGAAAGCGAUGGGGAGCAAACA